CCUACGGGCGGCAGCAGUGGGGAAUAUUGGACAAUGGGCGAAAGCCUGAUCCAGCCAUGCCGCGUGUGUGAAGAAGGCCUUCGGGUUGUAAAGCACUUUCAGUGGGGAAGAAAGCCUUGGGGCUAAUACCCUCGAGGAAGGACAUCACCCACAGAAGAAGCACCGGCUAACUCCGUGCCAGCAGCCGCGGUAAUACGGAGGGUGCGAGCGUUAAUCGGAAUUACGGGGCGUAAAGCGCGCGUAGGCGGUCUGAUAAGCCGGUUGUGAAAGCCCCGGGCUCAACCUGGGAACGGCAUCCGGAACUGUCAGGCUAGAGUGCAGGAGAGGAAGGUAGAAUUCCCGGUGUAGCGGUGAAAUGCGUAGAGAUCGGGAGGAAUACCAGUGGCGAAGGCGGCCUUCUGGACUGACACUGACGCUGAGGUGCGAAAGCGUGGGUAGCAAACAGGAUUAGAUACCCUGGUAGUC
rnacentral:rRNA from 1 species